rnacentral:misc_RNA from 1 species
CUGGGUACUAUACUCUCUACCCUUUGUGAACUAUUAUACCUGUUGCUUCGGCGGCGCCCGCGAGGGUGCCCGCCGGUCUCAUCAGAAUCUCUGUUUUCGAACCCGACGAUACUUCUGAGUGUUCUUAGCGAACUGUCA